rnacentral:rRNA from 1 species
GACAGAGGGUGCAAACGUUGUUCGGAAUUACUGGGCGUAAAGCGUGUGUAGGCGGCUACGUAAGUCGGAUGUGAAAGCCCCAGGCUCAACCUGGGAAGUGCACUCGAUACUGCGUAGCUUGAGUAUCGGAGAAGUUGGUGGAAUUCUCGGUGUAGAGGUGAAAUUCGUAGAUAUUCGGAAGAACACCAGUGGCGAAGGCUACUGACUGGACAAGUAUUGACGCUGAGGUGCGAAAGCGUGGGGAGCAAACAGG